rnacentral:rRNA from 1 species
UAGGGAAUCUUCCACAAUGGACGAAAGUCUGAUGGAGCAACGCCGCGUGAGUGAAGAAGGUUUUCGGAUCGUAAAACUCUGUUGUUGGAGAAGAACGUAUUUGAUAGUAACUGAUCAGGUAGUGACGGUAUCCAACCAGAAAGCCACGGCUAACUACGCGCCAG